GUGUCGCAUGACACAAAGUUAAAAGGCGCUUUGGCGUCACCUAGAGAUGGAUCCGCGGUGCAUUAGUUAGUUGGUGGGGUAAAGGCCUACCAAGACAAUGAUGCAUAGCCGAGUUGAGAGACUGAUCGGCCACAUUGGGACUGAGACACGGCCCAAACUCCUACGGGAGGCUGCAGUAGGGAAUCUUCCACAAUGGGCGAAAGCCUGAUGGAGCAACGCCGCGUGUGUGAUGAAGGCUUUCGGGUCGUAAAGCACUGUUGUAUGGGAAGAACAGCUAGAAUAGGGAAUGAUUUUAGUUUGACGGUACCAUACCAGAAAGGGACGGCUAAAUACGUGCCAGCAGCCGCGGUAAUACGUAUGUCCCGAGCGUUAUCCGGAUUUAUUGGGCGUAAAGCGAGCGCAGACGGUUAAUUAAGUCUGAUGUGAAAGCCCGGAGCUCAACUCCGGAAUGGCAUUGGAAACUGGUUAACUUGAGUGCAGUAGAGGUAAGUGGAACUCCAUGUGUAGCGGUGGAAUGCGUAGAUAUAUGGAAGAACACCAGUGGCGAAGGCGGCUUACUGGACUGUAACUGACGUUGAGGCUCGAAAGUGUGGGUAGCAAACAGGAUUAGAUACCCUGGUAGUCCACACCGUAAACGAUGAACACUAGGUGUUAGGAGGUUUCCGCCUCUUAGUGCCGAAGCUAACGCAUUAAGUGUUCCGCCUGGGGAGUACGACCGCAAGGUUGAAACUCAAAGGAAUUGACGGGGACCCGCACAAGCGGUGGAGCAUGUGGUUUAAUUCGAAGCAACGCGAAGAACCUUACCAGGUCUUGACAUCCUUUGAAGCUUUUAGAGAUAGAAGUGUUCUCUUCGGAGACAAAGUGACAGGUGGUGCAUGGUCGUCGUCAGCUCGUGUCGUGAGAUGUUGGGUUAAGUCCCGCAACGAGCGCAACCCUUAUUGUUAGUUGCCAGCAUUCAGAUGGGCACUCUAGCGAGACUGCCGGUGACAAACCGGAGGAAGGCGGGGACGACGUCAGAUCAUCAUGCCCCUUAUGACCUGGGCUACACACGUGCUACAAUGGCGUAUACAACGAGUUGCCAACCCGCGAGGGUGAGCUAAUCUCUUAAAGUACGUCUCAGUUCGGAUUGUAGUCUGCAACUCGACUACAUGAAGUCGGAAUCGCUAGUAAUCGCGGAUCAGCACGCCGCGGUGAAUACGUUCCCGGGUCUUGUACACACCGCCCGUCACACCAUGGGAGUUUGUAAUGCCCAAAGCCGGUGGCCUAACCUUUUAGGGGGAGCCGUGU
rnacentral:rRNA from 1 species